rnacentral:piRNA from 1 species
UCCUGUCAGGGCUGAUGCAUACAGAAAGUU